rnacentral:rRNA from 1 species
GACGAACGCUGGCGGCGUGCUUAACACAUGCAAGUCGAACGGAAAGGCCCUGCUUUUGUGGGUUGCUCGAGUGGCUAACGGGUGAGUAACACGUGAGUAACCUGCCCUUGACUUUGGGAUAACUUCAUGAAACUGGGGCUAAUACCGGAUAUGAGCUCCUUCUGCAUGGUGGGGGUUGGAAAGUUUCGGCGGUUGGGGAUGGACUCGCGGCUUAUCAGCUUGUUGGUGGGGUAGUGGCUUACCAAGGCUUUGACGGGUAGCCGGCCUGAGAGGGUGACCGGCCACAUUGGGACUGAGAUACGGCCCAGACUCCUACGGGAGGCAGCAGUGGGGAAUAUUGCACAAUGGGCGGAAGCCUGAUGCAGCAACGCCGCGUGAGGGAUGACGGCCUUCGGGUUGUAAACCGCUUUCGCCUGUGACGAAGCGUGAGUGACGGUAAUGGGUAAAGAAGCACCGGCUAACUACGUG